rnacentral:rRNA from 1 species
GAUGAACGCUGGCGGCGUGCCUAAUACAUGCAAGUCGAGCGAACAGAUGAGGAGCUUGCUCCUCUGACGUUAGCGGCGGACGGGUGAGUAACACGUGGAUAACCUACCUAUAAGACUGGGAUAACUUCGGGAAACCGGAGCUAAUACCGGAUAAUAUAUUGAACCGCAUGGUUCAAUAGUGAAAGACGGUUUUGCUGUCACUUAUAGAUGGAUCCGCGCCGCAUUAGCUAGUUGGUAAGGUAACGGCUUACCAAGGCAACGAUGCGUAGCCGACCUGAGAGGGUGAUCGGCCACACUGGAACUGAGACACGGUCCAGACGCCUACGGGAGGCAGCAGUAGGGAAUCUUCCGCAAUGGGCGAAAGCCUGACGGAGCAACGCCGCGUGAGUGAUGAAGGUCUUCGGAGCGUAAAACUCUGUUAUUAGGGAAGAACAAAUGUGUAAGUAACUAUGCACGUCUUGACGGUACCUAAUCAGAAAGCCACGGCUAACUACGUG